rnacentral:rRNA from 1 species
CACGUAGGAUGCGAGCGUUGUCCGGAAUCAUUGGGCGUAAAGAGCGCGCAGGCGGCUUGGCAAGUCGGGUGUGAAAUCCCGGGGCUCAACCCCGUGACUGCAUUCGAUACUGUCAGGCUAGAGGUAGGUAGGGGAGAUCGGAAUUCCUGGUGUAGCGGUGAAAUGCGCAGAUAUCAGGAGGAACACCGGUGGCGAAGGCGGAUCUCUGGGCCUUACCUGACGCUCAGGCGCGAAAGCUAGGGGAGCGAACAGG